rnacentral:tRNA from 2 species
ACUUGGCUGGCUCAGUCGGUAGAGCAUGAGUCUCUUGAUCUCAGGGUCAUGAGUUUGAGCCCCAUGUUGGGUG